AAAUUGAAGAGUUUGAUCAUGGCUCAGAUUGAACGCUGGCGGCAGGCCUAACACAUGCAAGUCGAGCGGAAACGAGUUAUCUGAACCUUCGGGGGACGAUAACGGCGUCGAGCGGCGGACGGGUGAGUAAUGCCUAGGAAAUUGCCCUGAUGUGGGGGAUAACCAUUGGAAACGAUGGCUAAUACCGCAUGAUGCCUACGGGCCAAAGAGGGGGACCUUCGGGCCUCUCGCGUCAGGAUAUGCCUAGGUGGGAUUAGCUAGUUGGUGAGGUAAGGGCUCACCAAGGCGACGAUCCCUAGCUGGUCUGAGAGGAUGAUCAGCCACACUGGAACUGAGACACGGUCCAGACUCCUACGGGAGGCAGCAGUGGGGAAUAUUGCACAAUGGGCGCAAGCCUGAUGCAGCCAUGCCGCGUGUGUGAAGAAGGCCUUCGGGUUGUAAAGCACUUUCAGUCGUGAGGAAGGUAGUGUAGUUAAUAGCUGCAUUAUUUGACGUUAGCGACAGAAGAAGCACCGGCUAACUCCGUGCCAGCAGCCGCGGUAAUACGGAGGGUGCGAGCGUUAAUCGGAAUUACUGGGCGUAAAGCGCAUGCAGGUGGUUUGUUAAGUCAGAUGUGAAAGCCCGGGGCUCAACCUCGGAAUUGCAUUUGAAACUGGCAGACUAGAGUACUGUAGAGGGGGGUAGAAUUUCAGGUGUAGCGGUGAAAUGCGUAGAGAUCUGAAGGAAUACCGGUGGCGAAGGCGGCCCCCUGGACAGAUACUGACACUCAGAUGCGAAAGCGUGGGGAGCAAACAGGAUUAGAUACCCUGGUAGUCCACGCCGUAAACGAUGUCUACUUGGAGGUUGUGGCCUUGAGCCGUGGCUUUCGGAGCUAACGCGUUAAGUAGACCGCCUGGGGAGUACGGUCGCAAGAUUAAAACUCAAAUGAAUUGACGGGGGCCCGCACAAGCGGUGGAGCAUGUGGUUUAAUUCGAUGCAACGCGAAGAACCUUACCUACUCUUGACAUCCAGAGAACUUUCCAGAGAUGGAUUGGUGCCUUCGGGAACUCUGAGACAGGUGCUGCAUGGCUGUCGUCAGCUCGUGUUGUGAAAUGUUGGG
rnacentral:rRNA from 1 species